rnacentral:rRNA from 1 species
UACGGGGGGGCGAAGCGUGUUCGGAAUUAUUGGGCGUAAAGGGUCGUAGGCGGUCGACGUCGAGUUCAGACGAUGAAAUCCCUCGGCUUAACCGGGGAACUGCGUCUGAUACUGGUUGGGCUUGAGUGCAGGGAGAGGAAUGCGGAAUUCCGAGGUGUAGCGGUGGAAAUGCGUAGAUAGUCGAGAGGAACACCUGCGGCGAAGGCGGGUGCGUGGGCUGACACUGACGCUGAUGCGCGAAAGCCAGGGGAGGCGAACAGGG